rnacentral:rRNA from 1 species
GUUAGUGGCGGACGGGUGAGUAACACGUGGGCAACCUGCCUGUAAGUUGGGGAUAACUCCGGGAAACCGGGGCUAAUACCGAAUGAUAAAGUGUGGCGCAUGCCACGCUUUUGAAAGAUGGUUUCGGCUAUCGCUUACAGAUGGGCCCGCGGUGCAUUAGCUAGUUGGUAGGGUAAUGGCCUACCAAGGCAACGAUGCAUAGCCGACCUGAGAGGGUGAUCGGCCACACUGGGACUGAGACACGGCCCAGACUCCUACGGGAGGCAGCAGUAGGGAAUCUUCCGCAAUGGACGAAAGUCUGACGGAGCAACGCCGCGUGUAUGAAGAAGGUUUUCGGAUCGUAAAGUACUGUUGUUAGAGAAGAACAAGGAUAAGAGUAACUGCUUGUCCCUUGACGGUAUCUAACCAGAAAGCCACGGCUAACUACGUGCCAGCAGCCGCGGUAAUACGUAGGUGGCAAGCGUUGUCCGGAUUUAUUGGGCGUAAAGCGCGCGCAGGCGGUCUUUUAAGUCUGAUGUGAAAGCCCCCGGCUUAACCGGGGAGGGUCAUUGGAAACUGGAAGACUGGAGUGCAGAAGAGGAGAGUGGAAUUCCACGUGUAGCGGUGAAAUGCGUAGAUAUGUGGAGGAACACCAGUGGCGAAGGCGACUCUCUGGUCUGUAACUGACGCUGAGGCGCGAAAGCGUGGGGAGCAAACAGGAUU